UACGUAGGGAGCAAGCGUUGUCCGGAAUCAUUGGGCGUAAAGCGCGCGUAGGCGGCCCUGUAAGUCCGUUGUGAAAGUCAAAGGCUCAACCUUUGAAAGCCGAUGGAUACUGCAGGGCUAGAGUCCGGAAGAGGCGAGUGGAAUUCCUGGUGUAGCGGUGGAAUGCGCAGAUAUCAGGAGGAACACCGGUGGCGAAGGCGGUUCUCUGGGCCUUACCUGACGCUGAGGAGCGAAAGCGUGGGGAGCAAACAGG
rnacentral:rRNA from 1 species